GCCGCGGGAAUUCCAGCUCCAAUAGCGUAUAUUAACGUUGUUGCAGUGAAAAAGCUCGGAGGUGAAGUGAGGGAGUGUGUGGGUAUGAGAGCUAGUCUUAAGUACUCACAACCUCCCCCCUCCAAUCGGUGUAGUGGGGUAUGCAGUUAUUCUACUACUCCUUUGGUCGUUGACUGUGAGAAAAGUAGAGUGUUCAAAGCGGGCGUUUGUUUGAAUAGAUUAGCAUGGAAUAAUGAUUGAAGGCUUUCGUGUUCGAUUUGAUUGGUUUGUUCAUAGAAGCAAGGUUAAAAGGAACAGUUGGGGGUAUUCAUAUUCACUAGUUAGAGGUGAAAUUCUCGGAUUUAUGGAAGAUGCACAGGUGCGAAAGCAUUUACCAAGGAUGUUGUCAUUAAUCAAGGACGAAAG
rnacentral:rRNA from 1 species